rnacentral:ncRNA from 1 species
CGAAAAUAGAGUUGCAGGUCGGUAGCUCCUGCGCCCGUUCAUCGGGUUCUUCCCAGCCACGG